AAAUUUAAUUUGUUUGCGCAGUUCCGCACGUUGCUUAUCUACGGCUUGGCUGAAUUUGUGGCAUUGGAAGUGGAGGAAUGUAAUAAAUUAUUAAAAAUUUGUUCCCUACCUGAUUUACCCGAUGUGCAGCUUCAGGUAUGAGGGUAGUAGUGAACCUAAACUUUCUUAAAGUAUGGGGUACUCACCUUGGAAGGCUCUUGCAGCGGAAGAAGCACGGAAGUGAUUGCAGUGGUUUGGGUUGUUGAAUUAUUGACGUGGACACCAAAAUUUUGUUAUUCCAGAAUUGUUCUUCCCAAUUCAUCGAUACCCUACAUUGAAAAGCUGAAAGUACCAGAAUGGUUGACGAGGUAUGGACGUGAACACUAAAAUUUUGUUAUUCCAGAAUUGUUCUUCCCAAUUCAUGGACAUCCUACAUUGAAAAGGUGUUCCAGUAUUGGAUUUUGUGCUUCCAGAAAGGUUGGCAAAAUAAUGGUAGGAGAUACGAAUAUGGAUUGAUCGUUUCUGAGUCUAAAUCAUCUAAUCUUUUUAUUGGGAUGUUUUAAUUUUAUUUAAAUAUAAACUCGAAAGUGGGUUUAUUGAAGAAAGUAGUUGUUAAGCAACGUUUACUUUUCAACUCUUGAAAUUUAAUAUUAAUUUACAUUUGACCAAUAGUCACUUUAACAUUUCUUUAGUGCUUCCAUUUAUAUUUGUUACUUAGUCUUCUCUUUUUUUUUAAUAAUUUUAUGUAUUUCUUAUUAUAAUAUCACGUCUUCUUUACUAGCGUUUAUUUGUUUAAUACUUUUAAACUUUAAAAAAGUAUUCCAAAUUGUGAUAGCACUUUUGUACUUGUGCUUGUCUUUCAUUUUAUUUUUCUAUUAGCAAACUAAUUUAUAUUUGUUACAGACAUUUUGAAGUUCUGUAGUAUUUCAUUAUUUAUGGCAUUUUUAAUUACUAAUAGUGGUUGAUAGAUCAAUUAAUGUUGUAACCACUUCUUUUAAUAUUUUCAUCUACUUAGGUCAAGGAAAAGAAAUCAUAAACCCACUUUUAAAAUUUGAACGUAUAUUUGUAAUUAAUAUUUUUGAGAAUAUAAUAUUUUACAUACNUUA